GACGAACCGUCCAAACGUUAUUCGGAAUCACUGGGCUUACAGAGUUCGUAGGCGGUCCCAAAAGUUAGGUGUGAAAUCCCUCGGCUCAACCGAGGAACUGCGCUUAAAACUGUGGGACUCGAGGGAGAUAGAGGAAAGCGGAACUGAUGGUGGAGCGGUGAAAUGCGUUGAUAUCAUCAGGAACACCGGUGGCGAAGGCGGCUCGCUGGGACGUGACUGACGCUGAGACGCGAAAGCGUGGGGAGCAAACAGG
rnacentral:rRNA from 1 species